UCUUGUAUCAAAGGAGUCUUUUCUUUUUGUUGUGUCACAAUCAUACUUGAUGCACACCUUUUGAGAGAGACAUGCACUCAUCGUGAUUUUCCUACAAUGCUCAUAAUGCUUCACUUAUAUCUUUUGAGCUAGAUAAUUUUGCUCUUUGUGCUUCACUUAGAUCUUUUAGAGCACGGCGGUGCGUGACUUGGUAGUUGGCUUGUGCUAUGAAAGUAGUCCCCAAAGGUGAUAGGUACCCAAAGAGGAUACAAAACCCUCCCUCUUCAUGUGCAUUG
rnacentral:lncRNA from 1 species